rnacentral:sRNA from 1 species
GUUGCUCCAUGUUCAU